rnacentral:snRNA from 1 species
GGUCUCGAUGGAUGGUGAU